UCAUAUGUUUGGAUUUUAACUGGGCGAGGGGAGUCCCAUUUGCUGGGAAAUGCAGAAUAGUAAAGCUAGAGCGGUGGAAUGAUUGACAUUAGGGUUGACAUCUGGAGAAGUGAGAGCUGUCUAGGUCUUCCAAAGACUGAAUAAUGUACAAAUCCAUGGCACUGUAUAGUCAAAAUAUGACUUAUUGGAAUAAGUAUUUCCAUUCCAGUUUAAAGGGUGCACUGAUUUUUCUCGAGGUCACAGAACAAAAAAUGGAGUUGCCAGGAAUCUAUCUCUUCGCUUCUCUGUUCUAAACUCCCUUAGGCCAUCCUACAUUAGCUCUUAGUAUUUAUUAUUAAUUUAUUUUAUUAAUUAAAACAGUUCAGUUAAUAACAAUAUACACUUGUGUAGUGAUUUAUAGUUUACCCUCCUGAUUUCACGUGAUCUCAUUUAAUCCUCAAAAACAACCAAGUGAUAAAACUGAGGCACUGAGGGGUGGAGAGACUUGUCCAAGACCACACAGCUGUUGGCAGGGCUGGCACUGGCCUGGCACGUGAGGGCCUGGGGUCUGUAACCUCUCUCCUGCCAGGGCGGACGUUACUGAUGUGUUUGGGCUCAGCACACUCCUACAGCUGUCCACUGUGUGCUCAACUGAAGAAGCCAUUCUCCCAGACAGAGGGAGCUCUUCUGUGGUUAAGGAUAUAAAAAGAGCUGUGUUCUAAGGCCAGAAUUUUCCCCCCAGUUCUUCUCAAGGUCCAUUCAGAGGCUAACGUCGCAUUUCUGCAGCCCAGGCACUUUAACUGUUAUUAUUUUUGUGUUUAUUUUUUGUUUGUAGAAAGAGUCCGGGACAUGUUGCAUAUUUACGACGCCAAAAUAGGAAGUGUGUGAUGCCCACUCGACCGCAAUGAAUUCCAAGGCAUAAAGGCCCCAGAAUCUCUGGAUACAAGAAGUCCUCACUCUGCCAUCCCUUCUUGAGUGGUGUUGGUGGACUUCCUAUGUGAUCCCGAGGUGGAGUCAGCUGGUGUAAGAGUUGGCAACCAGCUCUGCUCCAUAGACGGCAUUCACUUAGGAAGCACGACUGGCGGCUUCAUGCGAUUGGAGAGAAAAGGGGAGAGGGGGAGGUGAAGAGAGGAGGAGGAGCCCUCGGCAGAAUUCCAAGUUCCGUGGCACUGGCCCCACGGAACUCUGGAAACAAGAAUCAGGCUUGGGCUGCGCAGGUUCCAAG
rnacentral:lncRNA from 1 species